CCGCAGCCUCGAAAACGGAGGGAUAGAGUCAGGCUAUCGGUUUGGCUUGAACUCAGAUGUGGCCACGCGAAGCAACUCUCUCACUCAUUUGUCACUAAAAGGGCUUUCAAACAAGCUGAUUCAGCAGUGAAAGGGUUAAUGAGGAUCGUUCCAUGGAUUGAAUUACAGAGCAGCUGUCCCAGUUGCCAGGCAACAGCCAGGGAGUCAGACUGGCUGGGACACCCACAUCUAGGAUCUGAUUGGAUGCGGUGGAUACCAGACUGUAUAUGUAGCUCUUCAAAUAUGGCAUCAAUCAGAAAGAGACUGGGGAUGUAGGGAACAAAGAUGAAAGUCUAGGUUUUGCUUUGAAGAACAUAAACGCAUUAUAAAUAAUAUGCGCUUUUAUGAUAACAAACAGGCAAUUUAGCAACUACAGAUGUUUUCUGGAAAGAGGAUACUAAGCAGACAUCCAUUCAGGGACUCAAGGCACAAACAGAUAAUACAGACACAACCUGACGGGCACAUAUGGCCAUCAUCCCUAUUUACCUGUCAGCAUUACAGAGGUGGCAAGUACUGACUGUUGACAUCAAGGCUAUGUAUUUAUUAACACAUCUGCUAACACUAAUAGUUACCAACAGAAAAGUGUUCAAUCUUUUUAACUACUUUUCAGUAUAAAUGUAUAGUGUUGCUUCCUUUACUUUCCAGGCAUUAACAUCAAAAUUGUAUCAAAAUAAAACCAGCAGCGGUCCCUUACACCUAUCUAUCCAAUACACAUGAAACUGACUGUGCCCAUGUUACCAUCAGGUUAAUGUGUCUGGCUGUGACCAGACGCUCUCCUCCAGGCUCUCCAGAGACCAGACGCAAAGAGCUUUCAUCGAUUGACGAUGGACAGCUGAAGGGUUGUGCCUCGAAUAUUGUCUCGAACCUGAUGAACUGUAGAUACAUGCCAUCUAUUUUCUCUCUUACGUACUUAUAUUGUAUUUAGA